CUAAAGACAAACGUUUAAAAAUAAAUCACUUCUAUGAAAAGGUAAAAUCCGUCCAAAAUUAAGUAACUCUUAAAAAUAUUGUCCUCCCAGCUAUAAUGGUAUAUGUCUCACUCUGCUGGUAUUGAUGGAUGGUAUAGGUCUCACACUCUGCUGGUAUUGAUGGAUGGUAUAGGUCUCACACUCUGCUGGUAUUGAUGGAUGGUAUAGGUCUCACUCUGCUGGUAUUGAUGGAUGGUAUAGGUCUCACACUCUGCUGGUAUUGAUGGAUGGUAUAGGUCUCACACUCUGCUGGUAUUGAUGGCUGGUAUAGGUCUCACUCUGCUGGUAUUGAUGGAUGGUAUAGGUCUCACUCUGCUGGUAUUGAUGGCUGGUAAAGGUCUCACUCUGCUGGUAUUGAUGGAUGGUAUAGGUCUCACUCUGCUGGUAUUGAUGGAUGGUAUAGGUCUCACUCUGCUGGUAUUGAUGGAUGGUAUAGGUCUCACACUGCUGGUAUUGAUGGAUGGUAUAGGUCUCACACUGCUGGUAUUGAUGGAUGGUAUAGGUCUCACACUCUGCUGGUAUUGAUGGAUGGUAUAGGUCUAGGUCACACUCUUCUGGUAUUGAUGGAUGGUAUAGGUCUCACACUCUGCUGGUAUUGAUGGAUGGUAUAGGUCUCACACUCUUCUGGUAUUGAUGGAUGGUAUAGGUCUCACACUCUGCUGGUAUUGAUAGAUGCUUAUGUACUGAAGUAUGAGAUAGAGA
rnacentral:lncRNA from 1 species